rnacentral:rRNA from 1 species
UGCGUAGGCGGAUUAAUAAGUCAGUGGUGAAAUCUCUCGGCUCAACCGGGAAACUGCCAUUGAUACUGUUAAUCUUGAGUUCGGUUGAGGUAGGCGGAAUGUGUAAUGUAGCGGUGAAAUGCUUAGAUAUUACACAGAACACCAAUUGCGUAGGCAGCUUACUAGACCGACACUGACGCUAAUGGACGAAAGCGUGGGGAGCGAACAGGAUUAGAUACCCUGGUAGUCC